GGGGGCGUAGCUCAGCGGUAGAGCAGCUGCCUUUUAAGCAGUUGGUCGGAGGUUCGAUCCCUCCCGCCCUCACCA
rnacentral:tRNA from 1 species